AUUCAGCUUCCGGUAUUCAUUCAGCUUCCGGUAUUCAGCUUCCCGUAUUCAGCUCCCGGUAUUGGAGUAUUCCUUGGUGUUCCUUAGCAUUCCUUGACUUGCAGACAUCUUCCCAGUCUCCCUUCCAUCUUCACAUGGGCUUCUCAGCUGUGUGGUCCCUGUAUGUCCUGUCUCUUUAUUAGGCCACCCUCAGUGAAUUUAGAAUUCACUCUAACAAAGUAUGAUCUCACGUUGAUCCUUAACGCAUGACAUCUGCAAAGAUCUAUUUCCAGGUGACAGUGAGUGGCCUCCCUGAGAGCAGGACUGUGCCAUCCUCAUGCUGUGUCCCCAGUGACUAGCUCAGUCCUCCGCAGACAGGAAGCUCCAAGCAAACGUCUAGUAAAUAAGUGAAUGAAUGAGUGAUCAGAAUGCACUCUUCUUUGUUGGUGCCAUCCCUUAAGCCCUUCUAAGUGUGACUUGUUUUGACUCAAUGGCAAGUCCAUUGACUUAAAUACCUUGACCAGUUCUCUCAUCCUAAAGUGUCUGGGAGUGUACAA
rnacentral:lncRNA from 10 species